GGCCGAUGACGAUGCACCGGGCCGAGCCGGCGUAGGCACCCGGCGAUGACGAGCCCUAUGAGUACCGAGGCC
rnacentral:snoRNA from 1 species